rnacentral:rRNA from 1 species
UACGUAGGGUGCGAGCGUUAAUCGGAAUUACUGGGCGUAAAGCGUGCGCAGGCGGUUUUGUAAGCCAGAUGUGAAAUCCCCGGGCUUAACCUGGGAAUGGCAUUUGGGACUGCAAGGCUGGAGUUUGGCAGAGGAGACUGGAAUUCCUGGUGUAGCAGUGAAAUGCGUAGAUAUCUACAGGAACGCCGAUGGUGAAGACGGGUAACUGGGCUGGCUCUGACGCUCAUGCACGAAAGCGUGGGGAUCAAACAGG